AUUUGGAAAUAUUAUGGAUGACAGUUCUCAUCUAUGAAUACCUCACCAGCACUAAGGUUGAAGCAGGCAGGCCCUUUCUGAAUGUAUGGUGAACUGUCAGCAGCCCCCCCACACCAGUUACCAGUUACCUGACUUUGUUGUAGUGAUGUUAAAUAAUAAAGGUCAUAUUACACACCCUGUUGUUAGCUCUGUAAAGGCGGUGGGGCCGCACACACACACAUAGCAUUUGGACCCAUCUGGCCUGUUGAGGACAUCCUGGAGCAUGGACUCGUCCACCCGACCCUUCCUGCCGGUCCAGCUUUCACCGGGAUCGGAGAGAACAUACUCCACCUGAAAGCUGACACACA